CAGCCGCCGCGGUAAUACCAGCGCCCCGAGUAGUACCCGUGAAUAUUGGGCCUAGAGCGUCCGUAGCCGGUUUAAUAAGUCUUCUGUGAAAUGUUGGGGCUCAACCCUAACGCGUGCAGGAGAUACUGUUAAACUCGGGAGCGGGGGAGGGCAGGAGUACACCUGGGGUAGGGGUAAAAUCCGUUGAUCCUAGGUGGACUACCAGUGGCGUAGGCGCCUGUCCAAAACGCGUCCGACGGUGAGGGACGAAAGCUGGGGGAGCGAACGGGAUUAGAUACCCCGGUAGUCCCAGCUGUAAAUCAUGCAGACUGUGGUGUUACAUAUGAGUAAUCAUAUGUAGUGCUGUAGCGUAGGUGUUAAGUCUGCCGCCUGGGGAGUACGGUCGCAAGACUUAAACUUAAAGGAAUUGGCGGGGGAGCACCACAAGCCGUGGAUGCUACGGUUCAAUUGGAUACAACGCCGGGAACAUCACCAGGAACGACGGCAGUAUGAAGGUCAGACUAAAGAUCUUGCCUGACGCGCCGAGAGGUAUUGCAUGGCCAUCGUCAGCUCGUGGCGUGAACUGUCCAGUUAAGUCUGGCAACGAGCGAGACCCAUGCCUUUAGUUGCUAAUUUCAUCUCCGGAUGGGAUGCACUCUAGAGGGACUGCCCGUGUUAAAUGGGAGUAAGGAGUGGGCGACGGUAGGUCAGUAUGGUCCGAAAUUCCUGGGCUACACGCGGCAUACAAUGGUUGGAACAAUGGGCUACAACUCCGAAAGGAGACGUCAAUCCCCUAAAUCCAGCCGAAGUUCGGAUUGAGGGUUGCAACUCACCCUCAUGAAGCUGGAAUGGCUAGUAAUCGCAGGUCAACAUCCUGCGGUGAAUGUGUCCCUGCCCCUUGCACAC
rnacentral:rRNA from 1 species